GAUGAAGAACGUAGCGAAAUGCGAUAAGUAAUGUGAAUUGCAGAAUUCAGUGAAUCAUCGAAUCUUUGAACGCACAUUGCGCCCGCCAGUAUUCUGGCGGGCAUGCCUGUUCGAGCGUCAUUUCAACCAUCAAGCCCCCCGGCUUGUGUUGGGGACCUGCGGCUGCCGCAGGCCCUGAAAAGCAGUGGCGGGCUCGCUGUCACACCGAGCGUAGUAGAUCUCAUCUCGCUCAGGGCGUGCUGCGGGUUCCGGCCGUUAAACCACCUUCAUAACCCAAGGUUGACCUCGGAUCAGGUAGGAAGACCCGCUGAACUUAAGCAUAUCAAUAAGCGGA
rnacentral:misc_RNA from 1 species